rnacentral:rRNA from 1 species
UACGUAGGGUGCGAGCGUUGUCCGGAAUUAUUGGGCGUAAAGGGCUCGUAGGCGGUUUGUCGCGUCGGGGAGUGAAAACCAUGAGCUUAACUCAUGGCUUGCUUUCGAUACGGGCAGACUAGAGGCAUGCAGGGGAGAACGGAAUUCCUGGUGUAGCGGUGAAAUGCGCAGAUAUCAGGAGGAACACCGGUGGCGAAGGCGGUUCUCUGGGCAUGUCCUGACGCUGAGGAGCGAAAGUGUGGGGAGCGAACAGG